rnacentral:lncRNA from 1 species
AUUAUAGGUGUGUCUUCUUACCUCAAGAUUCACAUCAAGAAAGUGUGUCUUCCACCCUCAAGAUCUGGAUCAAAGGCAUGUUGUCUCCCUGCUUCAAAAUCUGGUUCACCCUUCAUCCAGUAACUGAUGGAGCAGAUGCAGAGAUCCAUAGCCAAGCACUGGGCCAAGCUCUGGGACUCCAGUUGAAAAGAGGGAGGAUGGAUUAUAGAGUGUGACGGCUGUAUGUUGCCCGUUUUCCUGGCCUGCUCAGCUGUUUCACGUUUCUGAAGGUUCCUGGCCAUAGAUGCCGUAUUGGAAGACCACACAAGGGAAUAGCUUGCCCAAAAGGAAGAAAC